CACGGAGUUAGCCGAUCCUUAUUCUUACGGUACCGUCAAAUAAUUACACGUAAUUACAUUUCUUCCCGUACAAAAGCAGUUUACAAUCCAUAGGACCGUCAUCCUGCACGCGGCAUGGCUGGUUCAGGGUUGCCUCCAUUGACCAAUAUUCCUCACUGCUGCCUCCCGUAGGAGUCUGGUCCGUGUCUCAGUACCAGUGUGGGGGAUCUCCCUCUCAGGACCCCUAAUCAUCGUAGCCUUGGUAUGCCGUUACCACACCAACUAGCUAAUGAUACGCAUGCCCAUCUUUUACCGAUAAAUCUUUAUUAUACAAACGAUGCCAUUCAUAUAAACCAUGGAGCAUUAAUCCGAAAUUUCUCCGGGCUAUUCCCCUGUAAAACGGUAGGUUGCAUACGCGUUACUCACCCAUCCGCCGGUCUCUAGAAAGCAAGCUCUCUAUACCCCUCGACCUUGCAUGUGUUAGGCCUGCCGCUAGCGUUCAUCCUUGAGCCGAGGACGUACAAACUCCUCUACG
rnacentral:rRNA from 1 species